GGAGCUUAUAGCUCAGUGGUGGAGCAUCUGCUCGGCAUGUAGGAGUUCCCAGGUUCAAUCCCCGGCAUCGCCA
rnacentral:tRNA from 1 species